rnacentral:snRNA from 11 species
CUGCUGUUUUGGCAGCACAUACACUAAAAUAGGAAUGAGAUCAAGAAGAUUAGUAUAGUCUCUGUGCAAAUAUGACAUGCAAAUUUGAAAAGCAUUCCAUAUUAAC